rnacentral:rRNA from 1 species
GGAUCCAGACUUUGAUCAUGGCUCAGGAUGAACGCUAGCUACAGGCUUAACACAUGCAAGUCGAGGGGCAGCGGGAUUGAAGCUUGCUUCAAUUGCCGGCGACCGGCGCACGGGUGAGUAACGCGUAUCCAACCUUCCGUACACUCAGGGAUAGCCUUUCGAAAGAAAGAUUAAUACCUGAUGGUAUGAUGAGAUUGCAUGAUAGCAUCAUUAAAGAUUUAUCGGUGUACGAUGGGGAUGCGUUCCAUUAGGUAGUAGGCGGGGUAACGGCCCACCUAGCCAACGAUGGAUAGGGGUUCUGAGAGGAAGGUCCCCCACAUUGGAACUGAGACACGGUCCAAACUCCUACGGGAGGCAGCAGUGAGGAAUAUUGGUCAAUGGACGAGAGUCUGAACCAGCCAAGUAGCGUGAAGGAUGAAGGUCCUACGGAUUGUAAACUUCUUUUAUAAGGGAAUAAACCCUCCCACGUGUGGGAGCUUGUAUGUACCUUAUGAAUAAGCAUCG